rnacentral:rRNA from 1 species
GACGAACGCUGGCGGCGUGCUUAAUACAUGCAAGUCAACUGAGCUUAAGGUAGCAAUAUCUUAAGUGCGGUGGCGCACGGGUGAGUAACACGUAGGUAAUCUGCCUUUAGGUCUGACAUAAUUCCGCGAAAGCGGGACUAAUUUCAGAUGAUGCAGCGGCUCGACAUCGAGACAGUUGUUAAAUCUUCGGAGCCUAAAGAUGAGCCUGCGUCUGAUUAGGUAGUUGGCGGAGUAAAAGCCCACCAAGCCUGCGAUCAGUAGCUGGUCUGAGAGGAUGAUCAGCCACACUGGAACUGAGACACGGUCCAGACUCCUACGGGAGGCAGCAGUGGGGAAUCUUAGACAAUGGGCGCAAGCCUGAUCUAGCCAUGCCGCGUGAGCGAUGAAGGCCUUAGGGUUGUAAAGCUCUUUCAGUGGGGAAGAUAAUGACUGUACCCACAGAAGAAGCCCC